GAUGGGUUAAUGUAUUAUUAUGAUAUGAUGUGUUGAAUAUGUACAUUAUGUGAUUUUGUCUUUUGAAAACCAGCUAAAUGGCAAGGUAGUACAAACUAAUUACUUUGUAUUCCAUUUCUGUGGAAAGUAAUUCAUACUAGGGCUUAGGUUUAUUACUAACCUGUUCAGCAAUGUUGUAGAGAUAAUUGAAAUUCUUUUAAUUAUUGGAAAUGUCAGGAGACAUUUUAAAAAGUGGGGGAGGGUGUGGCGCCAUAGAAGGUUGUGGCUGUUGUUAAGUACUUUGUUUCUUGUUUUAGUCAGACCCCCCAUUCUUAUUUUUGGUCUUUUAGAAUUAAGACUCACAAUAUGCAGUACCGGAAAGUGUCAUGGGGUGGCGCUGUGAGAACGCUGGUAUUAGGUAGCCACUAGCCAGCAGCAAGUCUCGGUUAGUUAUUCGAAGCCAACGAGACGAACGAGUAUCAAGCCACUCAUGCACUUUUGUUUUGAUGCUUUAUUUGAUUUCAGGUGAGUCCGAAAUCACAGGAAGGGUAUGUAAUUCAUUUGUUAGUAAUUUGUGUAAUGUUUGAGCAGAUGAUACACGCUGUAAAAUGUGUUCACUCGUUAAAUACAUGUUUAUUUGUAAUCGAUGCUAGCUAGCUAAGCCAGUCUGCUCGAACCAGUAACUAGCCAUCAUAGCCUGAUGUGAACGAGUAGGCUGUUUGGGAUAUUUGCGGGUGAUUAUGCGAACGAGAAUGUUAAUGCAUUGCUGUUUGUAAUGCGAGUUAAUGUUAAUGUAAAACAGCAAGUCUCGGUUAGUUAUUCGAAGCCAACGAGACGAACGAGUAUCAAGCCACUCAUGCACUUUUGUUUUGAUGCUUUAUUUGAUUUCAGAUCAAACUUUAAAAAAAUAAAAUAUGUGGCACUGAAGAAUAUUGUCUCUUCUCUGCGUGUGCAACACAUGGAUGUAGGGGGCCAUCUGGUGAUUACAGACGGGGAAGAAGAACAGAAAUUUAUCUCAGGAUUUAUUAAGACACAAGUUUGGAUCGGUCUCAGCGAUAUGGAGACAGAGGGAACCUGGAAAUGGGUGAAUAGCAAAGUCCUGAACAAUGCAGGGUACUGGAUGAAAGGAGAGCCAAAUGACCAAUCUGGUGCAGAGGACUGCAUAGAGAUAAUACAUAAGAUAGACUCGCAGGAGCUUCAACCACUGAAGAACUGGAAUGACUAUAAGUGUAGCGCAGCAAAAAGUUAUAUUUGUGAGAAAGCACAAUGAUUUCAAUUCAAAAGAUCCUUCUGGAUUUCACUCCUUAUUUUACCUAUUUCUGUAAUUAACAUUUGUCUGUGGUAAUGCUUGAUAUGAUAUCCAAAGUGACUUAGUUGAACAUAACAUAAU